UGGGGGAUAUUGCGCAAUGGGGGAAACCCUGACGCAGCAACGCCGCGUGAAGGAUGAAGGUCUUCGGAUUGUAAACUUCUUUUAUUAAGGACGAAGAAAGUGACGGUACUUAAUGAAUAAGCUCCGGCUAACUACGUGCCAGCAGCCGCGGUAAUACGUAGGGAGCAAGCGUUGUCCGGAUUUACUGGGUGUAAAGGGUGCGUAGGCGGCUUUGCAAGUCAGAUGUGAAAUCUAUGGGCUCAACCCAUAGCCUGCAUUUGAAACUGCAGAGCUUGAGUGAAGUAGAGGCAGGCGGAAUUCCCCGUGUAGCGGUGAAAUGCGUAGAGAUGGGGAGGAACACCAGUGGCGAAGGCGGCCUGCUGGGCUUUAACUGACGCUGAGGCACGAAAGCGUGGGUAGCAAACA
rnacentral:rRNA from 2 species